rnacentral:rRNA from 1 species
AGAGUUUGAUCAUGGCUCAGAAUGAACGCUGGCGGCAGGCCUAACACAUGCAAGUCGAACGGAGUUAUAUUGUAGCUUGCUAUGGUAUAACUUAGUGGCAGACGGGUGAGUAAUGUAUAGGAAUCUACCUAGUAGUACGGAAUAAUUGUUGGAAACGGCAACUAAUACCGUAUACGCCCUACGGGGGAAAAAUUUAUUGCUAUUAGAUGAGCCUAUAUUAGAUUAGUUAGUUGGUGAGGUAAAGGCUUACCAAGACAAUGAUCUAUAGCUGAUCUGAGAGGAUGAUCAGCCACACUGGAACUGAGAUACGGUCCAGACUCCUACGGGAGGCAGCAGUGGGGAAUAUUGGACAAUGGGCGAAAGCCUGAUCCAGCCAUGCCGCAUGAGUGAAGAAGGCCUUCGGGUUGUAAAGCUCUUUUAGUGAGGAAGAUAAUGACGGUACUCACAGAAGAAGUCCUGGCUAACUCCGUGCCAGCAGCCGCGGUAAUACGGAGAGGGCUAGCGUUAUUCGGAAUCAUUGGGCGUAAAGGGCGCGUAGGCGGGUUAGUAAGUUAAAAGUGAAAUCCCAAGGCUCAACCUUGGAACUGCUUUUAAAACUGCUAGUCUAGAGAUUGAAAGAGGAUAGAGGAAUUCCUAGUGUAGAGAUGAAAUUCGUAAAUAUUAGGAGGAACACCAGUGGCGAAGGCGUCUAUCUGGUUCAAAUCUGACGCUGAGGCGCGAANGCGUGGGGAGCAAACAGGANUAGAUACCCUGG